GGCGCGCAAAUUACCCAAUCCCGACUCGGGGAGGUAGUGACAAUAAAUACUGAUACAGGGCUCUUUUGGGUCUUGUAAUUGGAAUGAGUACAAUUUAAAUCCCUUAACGAGGAACAAUUGGAGGGCAAGUCUGGUGCCAGCAGCCGCGGUAAUUCCAGCUCCAAUAGCGUAUAUUAAAGUUGUUGUGGUUAAAAAGCUCGUAGUUGAACCUUGGGCCUGGCUGGCCGGUCCGCCUCACCGCGUGUACUGGUCCGGCCGGGCCUUUCCCUCUGUGGAACCCCAUGCCCUUCACUGGGUGUGGCGGGGAAACAGGACUUUUACUUUGAAAAAAUUAGAGUGCUCCAGGCAGGCCUAUGCUCGAAUACAUUAGCAUGGAAUAAUAAAAUAGGACGUGUGGUUCUAUUUUGUUGGUUUCUAGGACCGCCGUAAUGAUUAAUAGGGACAGUCGGGGGCAUCAGUAUUCAAUUGUCAGAGGUGAAAUUCUUGGAUUUAUUGAAGACUAACUACUGCGAAAGCAUUUGCCAAGGAUGUUUUCAUUAAUCAGGAACGAAAGUUAGGGGAUCGAAGACGAUCAGAUACCGUCGUAGUCUUAACCAUAAACUAUGCCGACUAGGGAUCGGACGAUGUUAUUAUUUGACUCGUUCGGCACCUUACGAGA
rnacentral:rRNA from 1 species